UGGGAAGUGGCGCGGAUGCUGCGGACUCAUAACCCGUCGGUCCCUGGUUCAAGUCCAGGUUGCCCCA
rnacentral:tRNA from 1 species